rnacentral:snRNA from 1 species
AAUGCACUAGCUUGUUGAACUGAAUAAGUAAGUGCAGAGAACUCUGCUUUUUACAGGUGUUAAACUUCACACCUAUGCUUAUUUAGUAUGGUAUAUAGUGCUAAAAUAGCAAUUUGCAAGUAGAUUGCAAAGACGAUAAUAGAACCUAUAUUAAAGUAAGAUUUCGAAUUUAAUAUGGUACUUGAGUAUCGUACAGAUA